GGUAGGAGCAUGCUGGACAGGCGCUGAGAAAUUGGGAACACUGGCAGAUUACUAAGACAGUCAAUGAAAACUAAACAUCUUAGGAAAAAGCAAAGAAAAAAAAACAGUUUUAAAAGAACCACGUGUUAUGUUUUAUACAUAGCAAAUGGCAGGCUCUAUUUGAACACCAACUGAGAAUUGAUAUCUUAAAAAAAAAGAAAAAACAAAACAAAACAAAAAACCUUAAUUUUGAGCCUGGAUUCUUCAGGGCACAUCCCUCCCUCUUUGGUAUUCUUUUUCCCUUUAAGUAAGGAUUUCUUUGCCAGUAGAUAUUUUUAUCCUAAGGAUUUAGCACCAAGGAUUUAUGUAUAGAAUUACCUGAUAGGUCAUUUUUACUUUUAAGCCAUUUCUCAUGACCCAGCACAUCGCCUGCCUGUAGAAUUUUUACAUCUUACAGCUAAAUCAGAAGUCGAGACACAAAAAUAACCUUUGUUGAAUGCUUGGGACCGUAAUCGCUCAGCAGCCAGAGUUACAAACAAUGCUACGCAGGGCCGUGUUAGAUGCCAGUGUUCACUGCGUGUCCUGAUUGAUCGACGACAUUUAGUACGUUGCAUCUAUCAUGGUUAUUGAUGUGUAUAGAGAACCUCAGAGAUUCACCACACAGUAGACAUUUGUAAGAAUAUUUGUGGUGCCUCCCGUUCCUUCGUAGAUGUGUCAUUUUUGUGGAAGAAAAAAAAAAGCAAUCAAUGUACCAUUAAGUACACUAUAGCAGACUUACAAAGGGGCUUUGUUCCUGCUGUCUUUGAAUGACAGGCCUGAAAAGGUGCUAUUUAAAUUGUUUAUGUCCUCAAGCCCUCUAAACAAGUCACCUGCAAAAUGUGUUCUCCUCCUUUCUAUAGAAUAAAAUAAAGGAUUUGUUUCUGGU
rnacentral:lncRNA from 1 species